AGCAGCAAGGAAGGUGAUAAGUAAAUAGCAUUAGCAGACAAUUGAAGUUCUUUUUAAGCAUACUUUAUUGCUAGCAUCUCCCUUUUACCAUAAAACAAUCAAUCAGGCAUGCAAAAAUCCCACUGGCUUUAUACAAGACUUUGCCCACACCUGACCUCGUUAGCCCCUACCAUUGAACAAAAUAGGUCAAACCAAAUAAUACAAUUCUAAACAAAGAACAGGAAUAAAGUCAUGCAUGAAACUGACAAACUCAUUUACUCAACUAAAUGGUUUGUAAAGUAAAACACUGCAUACAAUAUAACUCAAAAGGCUACUUUAAAGAAAACAAACAAUACUAUACAAAAUGAAAACCCUCCAUUUGGUUACACCCAGUGAUCCAAUCAUUGACCUCAUGACCCUAUAUAAACAGGAAGUAGUGGGCGGCCCUUCCCAUACACCCGUCUCACAUACAGGACCUGAAUGCACAACAUGGACACCAUGGCUGCUGACCAGAAUGAUGAGCAGCAGCGUCAUCCCUGUGAUCCUGGACAUGGUGGCGAAGGUUCGUCUGUUCCGUCUGACGUGUUCAGAUUCUUCUGCAGAAGACGAGGAUCUGAGUUUUAUACCCCCGCAGUGAGUCCACGCUGACACGGCGCAUUUAAACACAUCUCGCUGCUUGUUGUAGUUUGUGGGCACGAGCGGUUUGGGACACUUAAACCUGCCUGUGGAAAUCUCUGCAAGAGAAGACAGCUGGUCACUGUAACUGUCUCCACAUAAAAAAGGAAUGUUUUUAAUAGCAGAGAACUUAGGAGAAAAUUCCCUAAAUGUUCAAUUGGAAACACCAUCACAUACGCCCAUAGCAACACAAAGAACUAAGAUAUUUGUUUUGUGUCUUUAAAUUUGUUUUUGUUUGUUUUGCAUUUUUUUACGCAAAGAAGAUGAAAGUGGUCACUGGUCACUCACCUGUGCAUCUGCACUUGCGAAUAUACAGGGAUACUCCAUGGGAAGGAGCUGCAGUGGAAGAAGAUAACAAAUAAGACAUCAGUCAUGUGGAGCAGCGAUACCUUACCCAUCAGCUCUGUAUAACACCAGUGUCACAGUCUACAGUUUAACAGAGUCACCUGUUUACAGCCAUGUUGCAGAGUAAAACUGUGACAUCUACAUCUCUGCAGAACAAGUGAAAAAGAAUAAUCGUUGCGCACCUGCGCUGCUGCACAAGCUGUUGACGAGAAUGAUGAGCAAGAUCGUUACCGCGGUGAUCCUGGACAUGAUGCCAAAGGUGUUUCUUCUUACUCCGAAGUGUUUAAAGUGUUCGUUGGGACGACGAGGAACUCUGAGUCUGGUGAUUGCUUAUGCCGACAGUUAUAUAGCUGCCCAGACGGUGUGCAUCCACGUGGGGUCUACAGUUUGUGUUUCAGAUCAGUCUCGGCAUGUCUAAGAAUUUUUUACUUGGAUAAUCUCUCAACUGUGCAUGGGCUCACCUGUAAAAUGUGAUAAACAUGGAGAUAACACCCUCUCAAAAACUGUGAGCUGAA